rnacentral:rRNA from 1 species
GACGAACCACACGAACGUUAUUCGCAAUUACUGGGCUUAAAGGGUGCGUAGGCGGCGCGGUAAGUAGGGUGUGAAAUCCCUCGGCUCAACCGAGGAACUGCGCUCUAAACUACCGUGCUUGAGGGAGGUAGAGGUGAGCGGAACUUAGGGUGGAGCGGUGAAAUGCGUAGAUAUCUGGAGGAACACCGGUGGCGAAGGCGGCAUCCUGGACCAAUUCUGACGCUGAGGAGCGAAAGCCAGGGGAGCAAACGGG